rfam:Triticum aestivum genome assembly, contig: Triticum_aestivum_CS42_TGACv1_scaffold_556645_7AL
AGCUUUUGUCUUAAGUCAAAGUUUUAAAAUUUUGACCAACUUUAUAGACAAAAGUAGCAGCAUUUAUGGCACUAAAUUAGCACAUUUCAACUCGAAUCUAGUGAUACUAAUUUAGUGCCAUAAAUGCUGCUAUUUUUGUCUAUAAAGUUGGUCAAAAUUUUAAAACUUUGACUUAAGACAAAAGCUA